rnacentral:lncRNA from 10 species
AUGUAAAUAUGGAUUGCAAAGAAAUGGAAACGUGGUGCUGUUCACCUUACAGCCCCUGAUGAUUUCUUAUAGUGGGGGAGAGGGGGAUUGCACUUCAAGGUCAGAGUAGCUGAGCCACGUUAUUCCAGUGAGAUUUCUAUGCCUCUUUACCCUCUCUGCCCUGAAACUUUUUGUAGUACAAAUCAUACAAAGUCAUAAGUGGGGAUGUCACAAUUUACCCCGUCAGGGAAAGCAGACAUUUACAAGUACUUAAAAUAAAAUGAGAAUGUUAUAAGGGAAGAAACUCAUGUGAGGGGACUUGGUUGCUUAAAGAUCAGGAAUGUCUCUGAAGUAAUGACAUCUAAGCUGGGAACUGAAGGAUCACCAGGAAUUAGACCAAUGGGAAUGUGGGUGGGUAUUCCAGGCAGAAAGUAGGAUACAUUUGAAAGUACAGAGGUGAGGCCCUCAGGGAAAGUCGUGGAGCUAAGAGAGAUUUGGACCAUAUGUGGAGAGGAAGAGAGGAAGGACAUGAAGUUAGAGGGUCUAGGGACUUCUCUGCAGGGUGGAUUAAGGGAUCAAGGGACACACAGAGCCAGGGAUACUAAUGAUGUUAGUAGACAGCAAGAGAUCUUGGAAGGAACCUGGGAAGGGGCAGUCAGAAAUGCAGAAUAAAAACCAGAAAUGAGUAAUGACAUACAAGACAACUAGUGAGGGAAAAUUCACUUUGUGAAAAGGGCCAACAAUGUGUCAACUACAGCAAGGAAGUCAAGGCUGAAAAGGCUAAAAAGUGGCUGUGGGAUCAAUUAAUGAAGGCAGCGUUGAGGCCUUGGUGAGCACAGUUGUGAGAGAAGAGGUAGAAACCAAAUCGUAGCAGUGGAAAAACAAAUGAAGCUUGAAGAACAGAAGGUGUUUUAAAGAAAGCUGUCUGUUGGGAAGUGAAGGAAGGUGACGUUCCUACAAAAAGAGAAGUACACCAUAACGUUGGUAUGAGUGAAAUCAUUCAUUUUUCACUGAACGCUUACUUCAUGCUGGGACCUAAGCAACAACUGUGGCGACAAUGGACUUAUUGGUAAUUUACUAUGUGCAGACACUCUCCUCACUUU